AUAUUCUGCAUGAAUAGCCUCCAACCUGAUGGCAUGAACAUAGAUCUCGCGAACUUCUGUGCAUUUCCCUCCAUUUCUGCAAGGCUGUCGACAUUUACCUGCAUCAAAGAGAGAUCUACAUGAAGUGACUGAGACAACUGCUGUGGAUGC